rnacentral:lncRNA from 1 species
GGCUCUGGCAACAACAAAAGGAAAGGCGCAUAAUGGGCCUAGGUGGGAAAAAGCCAGUGUUUUGAGGUCCCUGAUCCAUCACGCCAAAGGGGAAGCAAGGAAAAUAUUUCAGUGACGACUAACCCAUGGCAAACAGGCCAGA